ACGGCGUCGGCGACGGACCCGGCCGCCGCGGCCCCGGCGGCGACCAGGUCGGCGGUCCGGCCGGGCGUGCGGUUCCAGACCGUGACCCGGUG
rnacentral:tRNA from 1 species